rnacentral:rRNA from 1 species
GAGUUUGAUCAUGGCUCAGAUUGAACGCUGGCGGAAUGCUUUACACAUGCAAGUCGAGCGGCAGCGCGGGGCAACCUGGCGGCGAGCGGCGAACGGGUGAGUAAUGCAUCGGAACAUGUCCAUGUCGUGGGGGAUAGCCCGGCGAAAGCCGGAUUAAUACCGCAUACGCCCGAGAGGGGAAAGUGGGGGACCGCAAGGCCUCACGCGAUUGGGUUGGCCGAUGUCCGAUUAGCUAGUUGGUGGGGUAAAGGCUUACCAAGGCGAUGAUCGGUAGCUGGUCUGAGAGGAUGAUCAGCCACACUGGGACUGAGACACGGCCCAGACUCCUACGGGAGGCAGCAGUGGGGAAUUUUGGACAAUGGGGGCAACCCUGAUCCAGCCAUUCCGCGUGAGUGAAGAAGGCCUUCGGGUUGUAAAGCUCUUUUACCCGGGAAGAUAAUGACUGUACCGGGAGAAUAAGCUCCGGCUAACUCCGUGCCAGCAGCCGCGGUA